GGCGGAAUAGCUCAGUUGGCUAGAGCACUCGGUUCAUACCCGAACGGUCGGCGGUUCAAAUCCACCUUCCGCUACCA
rnacentral:tRNA from 1 species